UGGCCACGUAUUGGAUAUCUGGCCUGGAGCCGAGUCUGUCACCAACAUUUGCACUGACAUGGUGAUGAUCCUACUUCUCGGGAGGGAGGGGCCGACUGCAGCGCCACCUCAUGCACGACACCCCGUGCUAAUUACGCGCGCGUUGGGCGCGUUUGUGGUGUGGAACACCCUGGCGGUGAUGUGCUGCUGCUGCGGUAACCUGGCCGGCC